rnacentral:rRNA from 1 species
AGAGUUUGAUCCUGGCUCAGGACGAACGCUGGCGGCGUGCCUAAUACAUGCAAGUAGAACGCUGAAGUCUGGUGCUUGCACCGGAUGGAUGAGUUGCGAACGGGUGAGUAACGCGUAGGUAACCUACCUCAUAGCGGGGGAUAACUAUUGGAAACGAUAGCUAAUACCGCAUAACAGUCUUUAACUCAUGUUAGAGUCUCGAAAGGGGCAAUUGCUUCACUAUGAGAUGGACCUGCGUUGUAUUAGCUAGUUGGUGAGGUAACGGCUCACCAAGGCGACGAUACAUAGCCGACCUGAGAGGGUGAUCGGCCACACUGGGACUGAGACACGGCCCAGACUCCUACGGGAGGCAGCAGUAGGGAAUCUUCGGCAAUGGGGGCAACCCUGACCGAGCAACGCCGCGUGAGUGAAGAAGGUUUUCGGAUCGUAAAGCUCUGUUGUAAGAGAAGAACGUGUGUGAGAGUGGAAAGUUCACACAGUGACGGUAUCUUACCAGAAAGGGACGGCUAACUACGUGCCAGCAGCCGCGGUAAUACGUAGGUCCCGAGCGUUGUCCGGAUUUAUUGGGCGUAAAGCGAGCGCAGGCGGUUUGAUAAGUCUGAAGUUAAAGGCUGUGGCUCAACCAUAGUACGCUUUGGAAACUGUCAAACUUGAGUGCAGAAGGGGAGAGUGGAAUUCCAUGUGUAGCGGUGAAAUGCGUAGAUAUAUGGAGGAACACCGGUGGCGAAAGCGGCUCUCUGGUCUGUAACUGACGCUGAGGCUCGAAAGCGUGGGUAGCGAACAGGAUUAGAUACCCUGGUAGUCCACGCCGUAAACGAUGAGUGCUAGGUGUUAGGCCCUUUCCGGGGCUUAGUGCCGCAGCU